rnacentral:rRNA from 1 species
CGAACGCUGGCGGCAGGCCUAACACAUGCAAGUCGAGCGGCCGUAGCAAUACGGCAGCGGCAGACGGGAGAGUAACACGUGGGAACGCGCCCUUCGGUUCGGAAUAACUCAGGGAAACUUGGGCUAAUACCGGAUACGCCCUUACGGGGAAAGAUUUAUUGCCGAAGGAACGGCCCGCGUCCGAUUAGCUUGUUGGUGAGGUAACGGCUCACCAAGGCGACGAUCGGUAGCUGGUCUGAGAGGAUGACCAGCCUCACUGGGACUGAGACACGGCCCAGACUCCUACGGGAGGCAGCAGUGGGGAAUAUUGGACAAUGGGCGCAAGCCUGAUCCAGCCACGCCGCGUGGGUGAUGAAGGCCCUAGGGUUGUAAAGCCCUUUCAGCGGGGAAGAUAAUGACGGUACCCGCAGAAGAAGCCCCGGCUAACUUCGUGCCAGCAGCCGCGGUAAUACGAAGGGGGCUAGCGUUGCUCGGAAUUACUGGGCGUAAAGCGCACGUAGGCGGAUUGUUAAGUCGGGGGUGAAAUCCUGGAGCUCAACUCCAGAACUGCCUUCGAUACUGGCGAUCUCGAGUUCGGGAGAGGUGAGUGGAACUGCGAGUGUAGAGGUGAAAUUCGUA